rnacentral:rRNA from 1 species
CCUACGGGGGGCUGCAGUAAGGAAUAUUGGUCAAUGGACGCAAGUCUGAACCAGCCAUGCCGCGUGGAGGAUGAAGGUCCUCUGGAUUGUAAACUUCUUUUAUUUGGGAAGAAACUCCCGAUUUCCAUCGGGAUUGACGGUACCAGAUGAAUAAGCACCGGCUAACUCCGUGCCAGCAGCCGCGGUCAUCAGGAGGGUGCAAGCGUUAUCGGGUUUCAAGGGGUUGUAGGUGGGCAGGGGAGUCAGUGUUGAAAUCUCCGGGCUUAACCCGGAAACUGCCAUUGAUACUAUUUGUCUUGAAUACUCUGGAGGUGAGCGGAAUAUGUCAUGUAGCGGUGAAAUGCUUAGAUAUGACAUAGAACACCCAUUGCGAAGGCAGCUCACUACGGAAAUAUUGACGCUGAGGCACGAAAGCGUGGGGAUCAAACAGGAUUAGAUACCCUGGUAGUC